UACGUAGGGUGCAAGCGUUAAUCGGAAUUACUGGGCGUAAAGCGUGCGCAGGCGGUUAUGUAAGACAGAUGUGAAAUCCCAGGGCUCAACCUUGGAACUGCAUUUGUGACUGCAUAGCUAGAGUACGGUAGAGGGGGAUGUAAUUCCGCGUGUAGCAGUGAAAUGCGUAGAUAUGCGGAGGAACACCGAUGGCGAAGGCAAUCCCCUGGACCUGUACUGACGCUCAUGCACGAAAGCGUGGGGAGCAAACAGG
rnacentral:rRNA from 1 species